UUCCUGAUCUCAAGUGAUCUUCUUGCCUCAGCCUCCCAAGUAGCUGGGAUUACAAGCACACACCACCAUGCCCAUUUACAGUUUGUUUUUCCUGGACUAUUUACAAGCUGAAGAUGACUGAGUUGUUUUGUCUGAAGAUGUAUGUCUACACUGAACUAAUGACCUGGAAAUUAAAGGCUUUGAAAUACAUUCCCAACGCCCUGAUUCAUGGCCUUUUAGUAAUGCAACUAAUCUGAAGUCUUAAAAUUAACCGCCUCACAGUGAACUGGAAAGGGCAGUGCUGUGACUAUGUCACACUGCUGAUCUGGUCUGCCAGGAAAGAGAGCAACUCCGCGAGUGAAGAGGCAAGAUAAGCCUGGUAGCGCGGUUUCCAGAGUCCGCAAGAGGCAGGCCCAGGGCGG